rnacentral:lncRNA from 10 species
GAAGACACCUCAAUGAUACAAGAUUCUUUAAAUAUCUUAAAGGGAUUGUGGGUCUGGGCUUGAUGUUCACCGAUUUUCCCUCAGCUCCGACUGUGGCUCCUCUCAGCUGACUCUGACCCUGCUCUCAGCCGGGCUGCAUCUGCCCAUCUCAGCACAUCAAUAAACAGCAGAGGGAAACUACCACCUUGGAAGGAGCCAGGCAGUUUCUGCUGGGUAGGCCGCAGCCUGGAACAUGGAAGUAGCUUCUUCCAUCCUACACUGGAAACCACCCAGCAUCCCGGGCCCUCCAGAGAAGAGCCAGACUCCCUUCCCUGGGAAGAGACUAUAGUCCUAUCUGUAUCCUCCGUGGUCAUUGCCCCUCAGUCACAGCAAUGAAGAGCAAAUUACCUGUUUUCUGUAUGUUCCUCUGACAACAACUGCCACAGAGUAAAUAUGAAAGGUUCUGGAUGAUUCCUUGUCAGCUUUUAUUAAAAUUCCACAUACUUGGCAUUUCUUAGCUAUCUGGGUUGA